GGAAUCUUCCACAAUGGACGCAAGUCUGAUGGAGCAACGCCGCGUGAGUGAAGAAGGUUUUCGGACCGUAAAGCUCUGUUGUUGGUGAAGAAGGAUAGAGGUAGUAACUGGCCUUUAUUUGACGGUAAUCAACCAGAAAGUCACGGCUAACUACGUGCCAGCAGCCGCGGUAAUACGUAGGUGGCAAGCGUUGUCCGGAUUUAUUGGGCGUAAAGCGAGCGCAGGCGGAAGAAUAAGUCUGAUGUGAAAGCCCUCGGCUUAACCGAGGAAUUGCAUCGGAAACUGUUUUCUUGAGUGCAGAAGAGGAGAGUAGAACUCCAUGUGUAGCGGUGGAAUGCGUAGAUAUAUGGAAGAAUACCAGUGGCGAAGGCGGCUCUCUGGUCUGCAACUGACGCUGAGGCUCGAAAGCAUGGGUAGCGAACAGGAUUAGAUACCUUGGUAGUCCAUGCCGUAAACGAUGAGUGCUAAGUGUUGGGAGGCUUCCGCCUCUCAGUGCUGCAGCUAACGCAUUAAGCACUCCGCCUGGGGGAGUACGACCGCAAGGUUGAAACUUUAAAGUGAAUUGAC
rnacentral:rRNA from 1 species